rnacentral:rRNA from 1 species
GACGAACGCUGGCGGCGCGCUUAACACAUGCAAGUCGAGCGAAGCGGCGGACGGGUGAGAAACACGUGAGUAACCUGCCUUAGACAUUGGGAUAGCCUCGGGAAACCGGGAUUAAUACCAAAUGGUAUAAGAUGGACUCGCGUCCCAUUAGCUAGUUGGCGCGGUAACGGCCCACCAAGGCGACGAUGGGUAGCCGGCCUGAGAGUGUGACCGGCGACAUUGGGACUGAGAAACGGUCCAAACUCUACGGGAGGCAGCAGUGGGGAAUAUUGCACAAUGGAGUGAACUCUGAUGCAGCGACGCCGCGUGAACGAAGAAGGCUUUCGAGUCGUAAAGUUCUUUUAUAUGGGAAGCGGUACCAUAAGAAAAAGCCCCGGCUAACUACGUGCCAGCAGCCGCGGUAAUAC